rnacentral:tRNA from 1 species
AAUAAAAUGGCUGAGAUUUAAGCGAUAAAUUGUAAAUUUAUUUACGAGAAUUUUCUCUUUUAUUA